CACUUGUCAUAUUGUCAAUAUUUUAUAACAGAAGAAAGUGUUGGAGAGAAAUAAUAUAUAUUUUUGUAGUUAAGUACCUUAAAAUAGGGCGAUGAACGGCAAAUAAUUCUAAAAUUAUAAGCGUUCAUUCGCCAUACAAAGGUGCUUAUUUUAAAGUGAAUUAGUUCGUGUGUCUCAAGUGUCAAAUCUCGUACGUCCUGGGCAGUUUUGAAUGAGGAAUGAGCUUAAUCUUCUAUACUGGAUGAGCAAAGUUAACCAAGGAUAAGUGAAUUAGGUGAUGGAUGAGAACCCUAACGAUCUAUGCAUCAAUUCUAACACGAAGCAACUAGAAGAACAGAAUUCCACUAACAAUAACCUCAAUUCUUCAAUGUCGUCUUUGACUUAUAAAAAGUCGUCUCUGAUGUGCGAAGAUUUAAACGAUGUCGCCAAUCCUUUCGAAUCGGCAACAUUUGACAGUAUGACUUCAUCACAACUUAGCCUAAAAUCCAGUACUCAUAAUUUAGAAAUGGAUAAGCUUAACGAGACAUUUGAGAAAUUAAGCUCACGCCAAUCAUUCAGCAACGAUAUGAGCUUAUCAGGGCAAGAUAUGCCUGAGAUGGACUCGCUGAAGGGCGAUGAAAAUGAUGAGAAUAAAUUUCAAUCUGGGGAAUGUGAGUUAAUUUUUAUUUUUGUUUAUUUUGUUGAAUU